rnacentral:rRNA from 1 species
AUACUGCAAGUCGAGCGGACAGAAGGGAGCUUGCUCCCGGAUGUUAGCGGCGGACGGGUGAGUAACACGUGGGUAACCUGCCUGUAAGACUGGGAUAACUCCGGGAAACCGGAGCUAAUACCGGAUAGUUCCUUGAACCGCAUGGUUCAAGGAUGAAAGACGGUUUCGGCUGUCACUUACAGAUGGACCCGCGGCGCAUUAGCUAGUUGGUGAGGUAACGGCUCACCAAGGCGACGAUGCGUAGCCGACCUGAGAGGGUGAUCGGCCACACUGGGACUGAGACACGGCCCAGACUCCUACGGGAGGCAGCAGUAGGGAAUCUUCCGCAAUGGACGAAAGUCUGACGGAGCAACGCCGCGUGAGUGAUGAAGGUUUUCGGAUCGUAAAGCUCUGUUGUUAGGGAAGAACAAGUGCAAGAGUAACUGCUUGCACCUUGACGGUACCUAACCAGAAAGCCACGGCUAACUACGUGCCAGCAGCCGCGGUAAUACGUAGGUGGCAAGCGUUGUCCGGAAUUAUUGGGCGUAAAGGGCUCGCAGGCGGUUUCUUAAGUCUGAUGUGAAAGCCCCCGGCUCAACCGGGGAGGGUCAUUGGAAACUGGGAAACUUGAGUGCAGAAGAGGAGAGUGGAAUUCCACGUGUAGCGGUGAAAUGCGUAGAGAUGUGGAGGAACACCAGUGGCGAAGGCGACUCUCUGGUCUGUAACUGACGCUGAGGAGCGAAAGCGUGGGGAGCGAACAGGAUUAGAUACCCUGGUAGUCCACGCC